rnacentral:miRNA from 1 species
CCACAGGGUAGAACCUCGGU